rnacentral:rRNA from 1 species
ACGUAAUAGAUACCCAGGUAGUCCACGCCGUAAACUAUGGAUGCUAGCUGUUAUCAGUAUCGACCCUGGUAGUAGCGAAAGCUAACGCGUUAAGCAUCCCGCCUGUGGAGUACGGUCGCAAGACUAAAACAUAAAGGAAUUGACGGGGACCCGGCACAAGCGGUGGAGCGUGUUGUUUAAUUCGAUGGUAAGCGAAGAACCUUACCAGGGUUUGACAUCUUGGGAAGGUCUCCGAAAGGAGACUGUGCCUUCGGGAAUCCAAUGACAGGUGAUGCAUGGCCGUCGUCAGCUCGUGUCGUGAGAUGUUU